rnacentral:rRNA from 1 species
AUUGAACGCUGGCGGCAUGCCUUACACAUGCAAGUCGAACGGCAGCACGGGUGCUUGCACCUGGUGGCGAGUGGCGAACGGGCGAGUAAUAUAUCGGAACGUACCUUAUCGUGGGGGAUAACGCAGCGAAAGCUGUGCUAAUACCGCAUAAUCCCUAAGGGGGCAAGCAGGGGACCGUAAGGCCUUGCGCGAUUAGAGCGGCCGAUACCUGAUUAGCUAGUUGGUGAGGUAAAGGCUCACCAAGGCAACGAUCAGUAGCUGGUCUGCGAGGACGAUCAGCCACACUGGGACUGAGACACGGCCCAGACUCCUACGGGAGGCAGCAGUGGGGAAUUUUGGACAAUGGGGGCAACCCUGAUCCAGCAAUGCCGCGUGAGUGAAGAAGGCCUUCGGGUUGUAAAGCUCUUUUGUCAGGGAAGAAACAGCAGCUCUAAUACAGUAUGCGAAUGACGGUACCUGAAGAAUAAGCACCGGCUAACUACGUGCCAGCCGCCGCCGUAA